GAUUUCCGAAUGGGGAAACCCAGUGUGAUUCGUCACACUAUCAUUAACUGAAUCCAUAGGUUAAUGAGGCGAACCGGGGGAACUGAAACAUCUAAGUACCCCGAGGAAAAGAAAUCAACCGAGAUUCCCCCAGUAGCGGCGAGCGAACGGGGAGGAGCCCAGAGCCUGAAUCAGUGUGUGUGUUAGUGGAAGCGUCUGGAAAGGCGCGCGAUACAGGGUGACAGCCCCGUACACAAAAAUGCACAUAUUGUGAGCUCGAUGAGUAGGGCGGGACACGUGGUAUCCUGUCUGAAUAUGGGGGGACCAUCCUCCAAGGCUAAAUACUCCUGACUGACCGAUAGUGAACCAGUACCGUGAGGGAAAGGCGAAAAGAACCCCGGCGAGGGGAGUGAAAAAGAACCUGAAACCGUGUACGUACAAGCAGUGGGAGCCUCUUAAUGGGGUGACUGCGUACCUUUUGUAUAAUGGGUCAGCGACUUAUAUUCUGUAGCAAGGUUAACCGAAUAGGGGAGCCGAAGGGAAACCGAGUCUUAACUGGGCGUUAAGUUGCAGGGUAUAGACCCGAAACC
rnacentral:rRNA from 1 species